UUAACUAUCAGAACUGUUGGAACGUAGCUCACCUUCGAAGGUGAAGAUGAGGAUUUAGAAAAGUACACGUUUUUAUUUUAAAUGAUUCAAGUUAAAUAUUGGAAGUCUAUUCAAUGACUAAGUUAUUGAGCCUGGAAGUGAGAUAACAGUUGUGGAAACGUCAUGAGGAUUGUUGUACGUGACGUGGUCAAUGAAAGGAGGAGGAUUGUAUUUAAGGUGGGACUCAGAUGCUUCCAGUUCUCUCUGCAACGAAGCAGCAACAUAUGGAUCUGUAAGCAACAUGGGAUUAUUUUUUUGUAAAGGAAGAGGAAGUGAUCAGAAUAUGUAUCGACAGGAAACUAACAACCCUGCUGUGGGUGGAGUCGACCUGUCUUCAGAUCCUGAGUGUGCUGCUGUGGGUGGAGUCGACUCGCCUCCAAAUAUUAACAACCCUGCGCUGGGUGGAGUCGACUCACCUCCAAAUACUAACAACCCUGCGCUGGGUGGAGUCGACUCACCUCCAAAUACUAACAACCCUGCGCUGGGUGGAGUCGACUCACCUCCAAAUACUAACAACCCUGCACUGGGUGGAGUCGACUCACCUCCAAAUACUAACAACCCUGCACUGGGUGGAGUCGAUCAUAUCCAAUAUUUGGACACUGAGCACAGUGCUCUAGGUGGAAUAGAUGUAUAUCCCGAACUCACCCAGAAAGUGGGAUAGAUCCACCUCCCAUAUUAGACCUGUUAGGUCUGAAAUGACAGACAAAGAAGAACCACAACAAGGAAAUUAUCAUUCUGACUCACUGGGCUUAAGAAAACUUUGGUGAUGCCUUUCUCAAAAAAUAAAAAUAUAUAAAAAUGUUGUGAUCUGCAAUAAUAGAUCCUCCGAUUAGUUUUUACUAAUUGUUAAUUGUUGAUGUCUGUGAACUAUUGAAAUCUUAUAUUUUCUAAAUAGAUGUAUAUUUCCUUUCUGAACCAUGUUUUUAUGCUUAAUCUGAGAAUUAUGUAAUGUAUUGAGUCUUUAAAAGAUUUUCACAUAAGUCUGUAGUUGUCUUAAUUUUCAUCAUGAAUUUUACAGAACAUAAAUAUAUUGGAAAAUAAAAAAGUAAGUGAGGGAAAUUUGUGGAUGUUUUUAAAGCCAGUUGUUCAAUACACCUUAGUUUAAUUUCUUUUUUUGUUUUUAAUUUGCAUUGCUUCAUUUUAGUUUUU